rnacentral:rRNA from 1 species
GAGACCCACGCCAACAGUUGCCAGCUCGUCCUCCGGGAUGGUGGGGACACUGUUGGGACCGCCUCUGCCAAAGAGGAGGAAGGAAUGGGCAACGGUAGGUCAGCAUGCCCCGAAUUAUCCGGGCUACACGCGGGCUACAAUGGGUGGGACAAUGGGUAUCGACACCGAAAGGUGAAGGCAAUCUCCUAAACCCAUCCUUAGUUCGGAUUGUGGGCUGCAACUCGCCCACAUGAAGCUGGAAUCUGUAGUAAUCGUGUCUCAACAUGGCACGGUGAAUAU